GCGCUUGUAGCUCAACUGGAUAGAGCACCAGACUUCUAAUCUGGGGGUUGGAGGUUCGAGUCCCCCCAAGCGUG
rnacentral:tRNA from 1 species